UGAAGAUACAAGAAGUUGAAUCAG
rnacentral:piRNA from 1 species